AGAGUUUGAUCAUGGCUCAGGAUGAACGCUAGCGGCAGGCUUAACACAUGCAAGUCGAGGGGCAGCGGGAGUAGCAAUACUUGCCGGCGACCGGCGCACGGGUGAGUAACACGUAUGCAACCUACCUUUAACAGGGGAAUAACCCGUUGAAAAACGGACUAAUACUCCAUAACACAGGGGUCCCGCAUGGGAAUAUUUGUUAAAGAUUUAUCGGUUGAAGAUGGGCAUGCGUUCCAUUAGCUUGUUGGUGAGGUAACGGCUCACCAAGGCUACGAUGGAUAGGGGAACUGAGAGGUUUAUCCCCCACACUGGAACUGAGACACGGUCCAGACUCCAACGGGAGGCAGCAGUGAGGAAUAUUGGUCAAUGGACGCAAGUCUGAACCAGCCAUGUCGCGUGCAGGACGACGGCCCUAUGGGUUGUAAACUGCUUUUGUACGGGAAGAAAA
rnacentral:rRNA from 1 species